rnacentral:rRNA from 1 species
AUUGAACGCUGGCGGCAGGCCUAACACAUGCAAGUCGAACGAGUGGCGGACGGGUGAGUAAUGUCUGGGCAACUGCCUGAUGGAGGGGGAUAACUAAUGGAAACGGUAGCUAAUACCGCAUACCAUCAGAUGUGCCCAGAUGGGAUGAGCUAGGUGGUGGGGUAACGGCUCACCAAGGCGACGAUCCCUAGCUGGUAUGAGAGGAUGACCAGCCACACGGGAACGGAGACACGGUCCAGACUCCUACGGAAGGCAGCAGUGGGGAAUAGUAGACAAUGGGCGAAAUCCUGAUGCAGCCAUGCCGCGUGUAUGAAGAAGGCCUUCGGGUUGUAAAGUACUUUCAGCGGGGAGGCGUUACCCGCAGAAGAAGCACCGGCUAACUCCGUGCCAGCAGCCGCGGUAAUUC